AGUCAGAAAGUUUAAAACUUUAGAUUGCAAGUCUAACACUGCUUAUGCUCGGGCUA
rnacentral:tRNA from 1 species